rnacentral:rRNA from 1 species
AUUGAACGCUGGCGGCAUGCUUUACACAUGCAAGUCGAACGGUAACAGGCCGCAAGGUGCUGACGAGUGGCGAACGGGUGAGUAAUGCAUCGGAACGUGCCCAGUCGUGGGGGAUAACGCAGCGAAAGCUGCGCUAAUACCGCAUACGAUCUAUGGAUGAAAGCGGGGGACCGUAAGGCCUCGCGCGAUUGGAGCGGCCGAUGUCAGAUUAGGUAGUUGGUGGGGUAAAGGCUCACCAAGCCAACGAUCUGUAGCUGGUCGGAGAGGACGACCAGGCAGAUUGGGACUGAGGCACGGCCCAGACUCCGACGGGAGGCAGCAGUGGGGAAGUUUGGACAAGGGGCGAAAGCCUGAUCCAGCAAUGCCGCGUGCAGGAAGAAGGCCUUCGGGUUGUAAACUGCUUUUGUACGGAACGAAACGGUCCUGGUUAAUACCUGGGGCUAAUGACGGUACCGUAAGAAUAAGCACCGGCUAACUACGUGCCAGCCGCCGCCGUAAGAC